rnacentral:rRNA from 1 species
UACACUCCUGCGGGAGGCAGCAGUGGGGAAUUUUGGACAAUGGGCGAAAGCCUGAUCCAGCAAUGCCGCGUGAGUGAAGAAGGCCUUCGGGUUGUAAAGCUCUUUUGUCAGGGAAGAAACGGUGAAAGCUAAUAUCUUUUGCUAAUGACGGUACCUGAAGAAUAAGCACCGGCUAACUACGUGCCAGCAGCCGCGGUAAUACGUAGGGUGCAAGCGUUAAUCGGAAUUACUGGGCGUAAAGCGUGCGCAGGCGGUUUUGUAAGUCUGAUGUGAAAUCCCCGGGCUCAACCUGGGAAUUGCAUUGGAGACUGCAAGGCUAGAAUCUGGCAGAGGGGGGUAGAAUUCCACGUGUAGCAGUGAAAUGCGUAGAUAUGUGGAGGAACACCGAUGGCGAAGGCAGCCCCCUGGGUCAAGAUUGACGCUCAUGCACGAAAGCGUGGGGAGCAAACAGGAUUAGAUACCCGAGUAGUCCCAUG